ACGUCGGGUCCGCGUGCACGCCUGCGCGUCCCGCCUGUGUGCAGCGAGCCAGCCAGUCAGCGCCGUGGAGAUUGGGCUAGCGACGGAGGCUGAGGCCGAGUCGGAGCCCGGAUUCCCCAGCCUGUUGGAGCAGCUGACUAGGGAGUGCCAAUUGUCCUGUGCUUCCCGGCUCCUACUUUGCCUGUCUUCUCUCUCUCCUGGGAAGAUGUUCCUGGUGGGCCUAACGGGAGGCAUUGCCUCGGGCAAGAGCUCCGUCAUCCAGGUGUUCCAGCAGCUGGGCUAUGCUGUGAUCGACGUGGACGUCAUAGCAUGGCAUGUUGUCCAGCCAAGGUAUCCUGCCCACCGGCGUAUAGUAGAGGACUUUGGCACUGAAGUCUUGCUGGAGAAUGGCGACAUUGACCGCAAGGUCCUCGGAGACCUGAUCUUCAACCAGCCUGACCGUCGGCAACUGCUCAACUCCAUCACCCACCCUGAGAUCCGCAAGGAAAUGAUGAAAGAGACCUUCAAGUACUUUCUCCGAGGGUAUCGAUACGUGAUUCUGGACAUCCCCCUCCUGUUUGAGACCAAGAAGCUGCUCAAGUACAUGAAGCACACGGUGGUAGUGUACUGUGACCGUGAUACACAGCUGGCAUGGCUGAUGAAGCGGAACAACCUGAGCCGGGAGGAUGCAGAGGCAAGGAUCAAUGCCCAGCUGCCCCUG